AACCGCCAGGGACACGUGCCACUCCAACGCUGCACAAGGGGCUUCCUGAAGGCAGAGCGUAGACCCCGUGUUCUCCCUGGGAGCCCAGCCAGGGUGCAUGCCUCACCAAAAUGCUCCCCUAUGGGAACCCAAAGGACAAUGGCAGGAGAGAGCGGACCUCCGAGGCCAGAAUGUUGGCACGACUGUGCUCCAGACCCCAUCCAGUCCAUCCCCCUGCCUGCCUCUGGCCCCCCUUCACUUAACCACUGAGGCUGCCGUUGCCAGGCCUAGACACCUCCAGAGGAGAUGGGAAACAGCUGGGCACCACCCUUCAAGUAAUAAUUACCUCCUCCAAACUCGAAGACAAUCCAGUUGUUCCUUGGCCUUCUCUUUCUCAGCUUAAAUCAUCUGUCCCCGGCCCUUUAAUCAUCCCCCAUCCUUUGAUCACUUCUGAUGACUGUGUCCAAAUUGGGGCUCCAGGACUUUAAUAAGGCCUGAUCCCUGUAGGAUGGGGAGGGUGCCCUGACCCCCUGUCCCAGGGCAUGCGCAGUCAGGGCCGGGGUCUGGACAGACAGUCCUGGUAGAGGCGCUGGGCAGAUAAAAUCAGCAGCAGCAGAGGGAAGAAAAUGAGCUUAAAUUUGGCGAGAGAAAAAGAACUGCAAUGCGUCCAAAUUCUGUGAUGGUGCGCUCUCCCAAGGCCAUGGGGGAGGGCAAGACCGUUUGUAGGCCUGGCCCAAGGGGAAGGUGUGAUCAGGGGGACAUCAGAGGGGCCACCUACCUCACAGGUCCGCCAUGAGACAUGUAGUGGGGUGAAUGGUGGGCCCCCCAAAAGAUAUGUCCAUUCCGAACCUCAGAAUGAGACCUGACUUGGUGUAAGGAUCUUUGCAGACAAAUGAAGCUAAGGAUCUUGAGACAAGAUCACCCUGGAUUAGAGUGAGCCCUGAAUCCAAUGACCAGUGUCCUUAUAGAGACCAAAAAGGAGAAGACACAGAGGUGCAGAGAAAAGGGCCUCGUGAAGUCAGAGGCAGGGAUGGGAGUGAUGCAGCCAAAAAUCAAGUAACACUUGGGACCCCAGAAGCUGGAAGCAGCAAGGAAAGACUCUUCCCCAGAGCCUUCGGAGACAGCUUGCCCUGCUGACACCUUGAUUUCAGGCUUCUGGUCUCCAACUGUGAGAGAAUAAUUUUUUGUCAUGUUAAGCCCCCCAGUUUGUGGUUCUUUGUUACGGCAGCCCCAGGACACUCCUACAGACCUUAAAUUCCCAUCUGAAUCAUCCCUUUAGGCCAAAGCUGCCUCUCCCAAAGAUGUCUCAUAAGCCACCAAACCUGCAGUCAGCAGUGAACGCUGGCCAGCAGGUGGCAGUCCUGAGGGGGCUCGGGGGCACUCAAGACAGCAAGUUUUCAUAAGCAAAGCUGGAGGCCAGGGCUGGGUGAGAAAGGUGUAAAUAUGAAGCCUUUCUGGAGAUGGAAGGAGCAGGCCUGAAGGGAAACCCCACAGGUCCAGCCCAGGUGGAGCGACCCUUGCAAAGCAUGGGAAGAACGGGAGGAGGAAAUGGAUGGGCGGAAACAGCCAUUUGGCUCACCCGUCAGUAUCCCUGACCCCACGCUCCAGGGGGGUGGCAUGGGGAGCAGAGGGAGGAUGGUGGCUCUUUGCCCAGCAAAACCGGGCCUUUGGACCGGACACCCCAUGCAGUGGACCAUCUGGCUGCUCUGGGGCAGGGGCCAUAUGGUCUCAGCUCUACGUGCACCUGGCGCCCAGCAGGGCCUCCCUGAGCCGCAGAGCCUCGGGUCCAGCAGCUGCUGAGCCUUCCACAGCCCCCAAGCCCCUUCAGCCCACCAUCUCGGUAAAUGGCACCACCAUCUACCUAGCCGCUCAAGCCAAAUAUCAAGGCAUCACCCUCGAGUUCUCCCUUUCCCUCCCCACCACAUCCAAGCCAUCAGGAAGUGUCUGCCUCAGAAAUACCCAUGGAUCAGUCUACUUCUGCCCUCCUCAAGUUCCCCCUCUCCAGCCCACCCCCUCUGCCAGAGGUAUGCUGCCUAAGGUUUAACAACCAGCAAAAACAACUCUACCUGAUAUGUAGCAUUUGCCUAUUUCUGUGGUGUAAGUACUCCCAUCUUGGCCAAUUUGGGGCUACCAAUGAGACACCAUUGA